rnacentral:lncRNA from 1 species
ACUCCUGUAGGCACUGGUACUCAGAGGAGCUGUCUGUCAGGUCAGCCAAUGAUAGUGGUCCUCUCUGCACUACAGCUGCAGGGUACACUUUCUCCUGGAUGGCACCCUCAGGCCAGCAUCUUUCCAGAAAGUGUUCUUGAAUAUAGUAUAUAUGUAAAAUUAACAGUGUGUAUUUAAAACUUGACAAGCUAAGGUAGAGAUGCUAGGGGAUAAAAGAGCACUCACUCAGUUUCUGGUAAUCCUCUUGCUCUUCAGAUAGAGUAGUAAAGUAUUAGUAGUAAUAAUAGUAGAGUUACUACUAUUUUUAUUUAUUUUCCCAUAUGUGUACAUUUUUUUCCUAACAUAGUCCAUAAAUAUUUAUAUCCUGUGUUUUUCUUUUUAUCCAAAUAUCUGUUUAUUAUGGUGGCAAAUAUUUGAUUAAAGUUUAAAAUGAACUUUUAUUUAUUUUUAUAUAGAGAAUGAAGACCUUUCGAAUCCGUCAAAACCUAUACAGAAUCAAACAUUUUCCACCCCAGCAAGUCAACUCUUUUCUCCUCAUGGUUCUAAUCCUUCAACACCUGCUGCAACUCCUGUU